AUUGAACGCUGGCGGCAGGCCUAACACAUGCAAGUCGAGCGGAGCGGGUGACGGGUGAGUAAUGCCUAGGAAUCUGCCUGGUAGUGGGGGAUAAGGUCAAGAACCGGGCGCUUAUACCAAAUACUAUCAGAUUAGCCUAGGUCGGAGUAGGUAGUGGGUGGGGUAAAGGACUACCAAGGCGACGAUCCGUAACUGGUCUGAGAGGAUGAUCAGUCACACUGGAACUGAGACACGGUCCAGACUCCUACGGGAGGCAGCAGUGGGGAAUAUUGGACAAUGGGCGAAAGCCUGAUGCAGCCAUGCCGCGUGUGUGAAGAAGGUCUUCGGAUUGUAAAGCACUUUAAGUUGGGAGGCGUUACCAACAGAAUAAGCACCGGCUAACUCCGUGCCAGCAGCCGCGGUAAUAC
rnacentral:rRNA from 1 species